GGCCUUUUGGGAGCUCACUAGCUUCGAGUUUCAUCGGAAUUUUGAAGUUAAGUGAGUUCGCACGAGAGCAAUCCCAGGAUGUGUGACCCACUGGGAAGGUCUCGUGUGAGUUCCCAGAAACAAAACCGUGAGGGCGUGGCUAGGGCCCAAAGCGGACAAUAUCAUGUUACGGCGGAGUUAAGCCCGGGAUGUGGUGGGGGCCUGGGCUGGGAUGUGUCAAUUUGGUAUCAGAGCCAAUCCCUGGCUGGAUAUGUGCCAACGAAGACGUUGGGCCCCUAAGGGGGGUGGAUUGUUACAUCCCACAUCGUCCUGGGGUGUGGAUCAUCUAUGCCUUAUAUGUAUAUUCUCAUCUCUACCUAGCACGAGGCUUUUUAGGAGCUCACUGACUUCGAGUUUCAUCGGAACUCCGAAGUUAAGCGAGUUCACGCGAGAGCAAUCCCAGGAUAGGUGACCCACUGGGAAGUUCUCAUCUGAGUUCUCA
rnacentral:sRNA from 1 species